rnacentral:rRNA from 1 species
GAUGAACGCUGGCGGCGUGCCUAAUACAUGCAAGUCGAGCGAACAGACGAGGAGCUUGCUCCUCUGACGUUAGCGGCGGACGGGUGAGUAACACGUGGAUAACCUACCUAUAAGACUGGGAUAACUUCGGGAAACCGGAGCUAAUACCGGAUAAUAUAUUGAACCGCAUGGUUCAAUAGUGAAAGACGGUUUUGCUGUCACUUAUAGAUGGAUCCGCGCCGCAUUAGCUAGUUGGUAAGGUAACGGCUUACCAAGGCGACGAUGCGUAGCCGACCUGAGAGGGUGAUCGGCCACACUGGAACUGAGACACGGUCCAGACUCCUACGGGAGGCAGCAGUAGGGAAUCUUCCGCAAUGGGCGAAAGCCUGACGGAGCAACGCCGCGUGAGUGAUGAAGGUCUUCGGAUCGUAAAACUCUGUUAUUAGGGAAGAACAAAUGUGUAAAUAACUAUGCACGUCUUGACGGUACCUAAUCAGAAAGCCACGGCUAACUACGUG